rnacentral:rRNA from 1 species
GAUGAACGCUGGCGACGUGCCUAAUACAUGCAAGUCGAGCGAAUGGAUUAAGAGCUUGCUCUUAUGAAGUUAGCGGCGGACGGGUGAGUAACACGUGGGUAACCUGCCCAUAAGACUGGGAUAACUCCGGGAAACCGGGGCUAAUACCGGAUAACAUUUUGAACCGCAUGGUUCGAAAUUGAAAGGCGGCUUCGGCUGUCACUUAUGGAUGGACCCGCGUCGCAUUAGCUAGUUGGUGAGGUAACGGCUCACCAAGGCAACGAUGCGUAGCCGACCUGAGAGGGUGAUCGGCCACACGGGGACUGAGACACGGCCCAGACUCCUACGGGAGGCAGCAGUAGGGAAUCUUCCGCAAUGGACGAAAGUCUGACGGAGCAACGCCGCGUGAGUGAUGAAGGCUCUCGGGUCGUAAAACUCUGUUGUUAGGGAAGAACAAGUGCUAGUUGAAUAAGCUGGCACCUUGACGGUACCUAACCAGAAAGCCACGGCUAACUACGUGCCAGCCGCCGCAGUAA